rnacentral:rRNA from 1 species
GGUCUCAAGCGUUGUUCGGAUUCAUUGGGCGUAAAGGGCGCGUAGGCUGCGGGGCAAGUCGGGUGUGAAAUCUCAGAGCUCAACUCUGAAACUGCACUCGAUACUGCUUUGCUUGAGGACUGGAGAGGAGAUUGGAAUUCACGGUGUAGCAGUGAAAUGCGUAGAUAUCGUGAGGAAGACCAGUGGCGAAGGCGGAUCUCUGGACAGUUCCUGACGCUGAGGCGCGAAGGCCAGGGGAGCAAACGGG